UACGGGGGGAGCAAGCGUUGUUCGGAUUUACUGGGCGUAAAGGGCGCGUAGGCGGCCAGCACAAGUCAGUUGUGAAAUCUCCGAGCUUAACUCGGAAAGGUCAACUGAUACUGUGCGGCUAGAGUGCGGAAGGGGCAACUGGAAUUCUUGGUGUAGCGGUGAAAUGCGUAGAUAUCGAGAGGAACACCUGCGGCGAAGGCGGGUUGCUGGGCCGACACUGACGCUGAGGCGCGAAAGCCAGGGGAGCAAACGGG
rnacentral:rRNA from 1 species